rnacentral:snRNA from 1 species
GCGUUUGCUUCAGCAGCACAUAUACUAAAACAUGAACAAUGUAGAAAAGAUUAGCAUGCCCCCUGCAUGAGGAUGACACGCAAAUUUAAAAUAAAAAUCAGUUUAUU